rnacentral:rRNA from 1 species
GAUGAACGCUGGCGGCGUGCCUAAUACAUGCAAGUCGAGCGAACAGACGAGGAGCUUGCUCCUUUGGCGUUAGCGGCGGACGGGUGAGUAACACGUGGGUAACCUACCUAUAAGACUGGGAUAACUUCGGGAAACCGGAGCUAAUACCGGAUAAUAUUUCGAACCGCAUGGUUCGAUAGUGAAAGAUGGCCCUGCUAUCACUUAUAGAUGGACCUGCGCCGUAUUAGCUAGUUGGUAAGGUAACGGCUUACCAAGGCAACGAUACGUAGCCGACCUGAGAGGGUGAUCGGCCACACUGGAACUGAGACACGGUCCAGACUCCUACGGGAGGCAGCAGUAGGGAAUCUUCCGCAAUGGGCGAAAGCCUGACGGAGCAACGCCGCGUGAGUGAUGAAGGUCUUCGGAUCGUAAAACUCUGUUAUUAGGGAAGAACAAACGUGUAAGUAACUGUGCACGUCUUGACGGUACCUAAUCAGAAAGCCACGGCUAACUACGUGCCAGCAGCCGCGGUAAUACGUAGGUGGCAAGCGUUAUCCGGAAUUAUUGGGCGUAAAGCGCGCGUAGGCGGUUUUUUAAGUCUGAUGUGAAAGCCCACGGCUCAACCGUGGAGGGUCAUUGGAAACUGGAAAACUUGAGUGCAGAAGAGGAAAGUGGAAUUCCAUGUGUAGCGGUGAAAUGCGCAGAGAUAUGGAGGAACACCAGUGGCGAAGGCGACUUUCUGGUCUGUAACUGACGCUGAUGUGCGAAAGCGUGGGGAUCAAACAGGAUUAGAUACCCUGGUAGUCCACGCCGUAAACGAUGAGUGCUAAGUGUUAGGGGGUUUCCGCCCCUUAGUGCUGCAGCUAACGCAUUAAGCACUCCGCCUGGGGAGUACGACCGCAAGGUUGAAACUCAAAGGAAUUGACGGGGACCCGCACAAGCGGUGGAGCAUGUGGUUUAAUUCGAAGCAACGCGAAGAACCUUACCAAAUCUUGACAUCCUUUGACCCUUCUAGAGAUAGAAGUUUCCCCUUCGGGGGACAAAGUGACAGGUGGUGCAUGGUUGUCGUCAGCUCGUGUCGUGAGAUGUUGGGUUAAGUCCCGCAACGAGCGCAACCCUUAAGCUUAGUUGCCAUCAUUAAGUUGGGCACUCUAAGUUGACUGCCGGUGACAAACCGGAGGAAGGUGGGGAUGACGUCAAAUCAUCAUGCCCCUUAUGAUUUGGGCUACACACGUGCUACAAUGGACAAUACAAAGGGCAGCGAAACCGCGAGGUCAAGCAAAUCCCAUAAAGUUGUUCUCAGUUCGGAUUGUAGUCUGCAACUCGACUACAUGAAGCUGGAAUCGCUAGUAAUCGUAGAUCAGCAUGCUACGGUGAAUACGUUCCCGGGUCU